GGAUUAGAUACCCUGGUAGUCCAUGCCGUAAACGAUGAAUGCUAGCUGAUGGAGGUCUAUACCCGUUCAUUGGCAAAGUUAACGCAUUAAGCAUUCCGCCUGGGGACUACGGCCGCAAGGCUAAAACUCAAAGGAAUUGACGGGGGCCCGCACAAGCAGUGGAGUAUGUGGUUUAAUUCGACGCAACGCGCAGAACCUUACCCGGCCUUGACAUCCUUGGAAAUGACUCGAAAGAUGAUUGUGCCACCGCAAGGUGGAACCAGGUGACAGGUGCUGCAUGGCUGUCGUCAGCUCGUGCCG
rnacentral:rRNA from 1 species